AAGUGUUACAGCCUUUUUAGAAUUUCUCUAGCAGGCUUUCCAGUUUUUACCCAAAAAACCCUU
ensembl:snRNA U7 U7 small nuclear RNA